rnacentral:lncRNA from 1 species
GCUCGACUCUCUUCCCACACAGUUCCUGUCUGAGGAGGCUGCCUCCCCCAUAUAUAGUAGGAUGCCUACUUUCAGAAGGUAGUAGAUGAAGCCUAGAGUUGCCACCACACCUGCAAAGGCAGCCACAGCAGCCACAGCUUUGGAACCAACAUCUCCAGCAGUCUUGUGCCCUUUGGUGUCCAUAGCACCUACAAAGGAAGCAGACAUUUGAGUCUUAAGUAUUUUUAAAUAAGGGUAAGUGGAAGCCUUACAUAAGGCUCCCCAGAGAAGGGGGUAAAACUAAGCCUUCAACAGGCUUAUUUCAGAAGUUUGCAACAUUGAAUAAACUUACCUCGUGAGCCAACCUCCUCCCCUGUUUCACUCCUACUCUUCUCCCCACUGCUCCCACUUGCUUUUAGAUCAGAUGAGCCGACACCUGGGAAGAACCUGAGAGUUUAGUACAACAUCUUCAUGCUAGUCGAUGUGGUUAGCUGUCCCCUGAGGGUGUGAUCCCACAGGUUGUUCAUUAAGGCUAUCUCAGGUAAGGGUAUGUGUUAACAGGCACAAACUAAUACACACUUAAGUUUGGCCAUAGCAUGUUAAGAUGCACAUGCUCUGACCUAAUCUUGCUAGAAACAUAUCUUAAAUCUUUGACUACUAUACAAGAAAUUCAAGAGGAUUUUUUUUUUUUUUUUUUGUGGCCGGGUGUGGUGGCUCACACCUGUAAUCCCAGCACUUUGGGAGGCUGAGGCAGGCGGAUCACUUGAGGUCAGGAGUUUGAGACCAGCCUGGCCAACAUGGUAAAACCUUUUCUCUACUAAAAAUAAUAAAAUUAGCUGGGCACAGUGGCAGGUGCCUGUAAUCCCUGAUACUCGGGAGGCUGAGGCAGGAGAAUCACUUGAACCUGGGAGGCAGAGGUUCAAGUGAUUCUUCUGCCUCAGCCUCCCAAGUAGCUGGGACUACAGGCAUA